UCAGGCUUCGUCAUAAGUGGUUGAGAACAAAACAAAACCGAAAGUAACAGUUGUGUUGCAGAAUUUGGUCAGGCAUACAUCACUCUUGUUUCACGUAAGAAAACGAUCGAAGGAAUAAGAGCUAAUCUGUGUUCAUUAAGUCGUAAAAGAUGGUUAAGGUAUUUUUCACUUCCAUUGGAUAUGCUGGGAGGUACCUUGGCGAGAUCAAGACCGAUCUCCAAAAACGACUUCGUGUGACCGAAGUCAGUGAUGUACAGGAAUGUGAUGUCAUCGUGGCCCUCUGUACAAUCGUCUCUCGAGCUGGAACUGAUGUUGAGGCUGCACUGCAUGUGAUUCCAACCUCAAAGCCUGCACUUCUUAUGGUGUUUCACCACACAUUCAACCGGGACGACAUAGUACCCGACACCCAGAAGUAUGUUGAAGGGAGAGGAAAGACGGUAGACCUGCUUUUCAAUGAAGAUCAAGGAUUACUUUUUUGCAGAAGAAAUGAAGACUCCAAGGGAAGGGCAGCAGAUUUCCUUAGCGGAUAUGACACAUUUUAUCCUACAUACAAUGUGUCAAGUGCCGUAAAUUCUUUGCGUUUACACAAGGUGCUGGUCCUUUGUCUGCUUGUUUUGCUUGUCAUUAUAAUCAUUGUUCUGGCAGCUUACGCAAUAUUUUCCUAGUAACCCUAUCAUCCCAGUCAGCAACUCAUUCAAGAUCAAUUGAUUGGAAUUUGCUAGACUAGUUCCAUUAAGCUACACUCAAGUUGAAACAUGAGCAUAAGCCAACUGAAAUCCGAUAGGCUAUCAGAACCCUAAACCUCCAGGAACUUAAAAUGGAAAUUAGGCUUCAGCCAUUUUUGGUUUUGUUAAGACAUAUAUUGGCAACACCAACAUAAUUUAUUUGAAAACAUUAAAAGAUGAAAAGCAAUCA